GAAAUCGAAGGGGUAAGCUUCUUGACCGGAUUGUUCACCGGUUGAUACCUCUCUUCAAUUGAUUUCAAGUCUAGGUAAACCUCACACCAUUCAAGCGGUAUUCAUCUUCACCGCAUAUCUCUUGAGCGGAGAACGAGCGGAGAUCGAGCGAAGAGGUAAACCGAUCAAUCUUGAUCUGUAUUCGGAUUCGUCUAAACAGUGUACAGGUUGAAGAAGAAGCAGAAGUAUUAAAUGAGGAUUGACAGCAUUGCAACCUUGAUUGCUGUGUGCAGGUUAACAGUUUGAGUUGCAGGUCUUAACACAGCUACACAGUGUGCAGCAGAAUUACUUCAUUUUGACAGCAACUAUUUUGGCAGCAAUUUUUUGUGUUUUUGAAUAGCAGCCCAGCUACUUAAAUACACAACAGGUCUUAGUUUUUCUGUAUUGGUGUAAAGAAGGAAGAAAACAGCAGUUAGAAGUUGGUGUGAACAAGAACAACAGCAGCAACAAAUUGCAAGUCUUAACAGCAGCAUUCAUCAGAUUAAAACAGCAGAUUGGACAGCAGGUGAAAUUUGAAGCUGUUACAUAGCUACACUGCAAGAAGGUCUUGACAGGUUUCUCAACUGUUGGUGUGAACUAGACAACAAGCAACAGCUGUGUUGGUGUGCAAUCUGCAGUCAACAGCAAAGCUAAGAAAGAACGAAAACAGCAACUCAGUUUUACAGUUCUUGACAGCAUCUCAAGCAUUAACAGACAGCAACUGUGUUUGACAAUUCCAAAACAGCAGAUUCACAUAAACAUCAGCUCCAUAGCUUCAUUUGUUGUGAUUAGACUGUCUUAACAACAGUUCAAGUGCACGUCACAGAGUGUGCAGGUGACAGAUUUCAUCCUGAUUAUCACACAAAUCUUGGAAAGGAGAUAGCACUGUGCAGCAAAACGGCAACAACAGCAACGCAGCUCUGUUCAUCAUUGUUCAAACUCUGUUGAAGUUACAUCUUUGAAAUAGCAAGCUCUUCAGUUGAAUUGUCUAAACUGUCUAAACCAGCAGCCCAAGUGAAGCAACUGAUAAGCGUAACAUACACGUGAAUUUUUGGAUACACUUUCAAGAGCAGAUAGAUCAUUUUUUUUAAAGUGUAAUAUCUGUAUUGUAAAGAGUUGAUAUUCUUUGAUUUGGA